GCUUCGAUUCCUGGAUGGCAGCGGACAAAUUUAAGGAGUUGCUUCCACAAGAGGCACGUCAAGAGUUCUCCGCGAUCCUUGACGAAGGCAAGAAGGUCGCG